GACGAACCGUGCGAACGUUAUUCGGAAUCACUGGGCUUAAAGCGCGUGUAGGCGGCCCGGCACGUCAUCGGCUGAAAUCCCCCGGCUCAACCGGGGAAGGGGCCAUGAUACGACCGGGCUGGAGGCCGGUAGGGGGCGCCGGAACUCACGGUGGAGCGGUGAAAUGCGUUGAGAUCGUGAGGAACGCCCGUGGCGAAAGCGGGCGCCUGGACCGGGCCUGACGCUGAGACGCGAAAGCCAGGGGAGCGAACGGGAUUAGAUACCCCGGUAGUCCUGGCCGUAAACCAUGGGCACUGGGUAGGGGGCUCGCCGAUGGGCUCCCUGCCGCAGCGAAAGCGUGAAGUGCCCCGCCUGGGGAGUAUGGUCGCAAGGCUGAA
rnacentral:rRNA from 1 species